AGUGAACGCUGGCGGUAGGCCUAACACAUGCAAGUCGAACGGCAGCACAGUAAUAGCUUGCUCUUACGGGUGGCGAGUGGCGGACGGGUGAGGAAUACAUCGGAAUCUACUUUUUCGUGGGGGAUAACGUAGGGAAACUUACGCUAAUACCGCAUACGACCUACGGUUGAAAGCAGUGGAUCUUCUGACCUUGCGCGAUUGAAUGAGCCGAUGUCGGAUUAGCUAGUUGGCGGGGUAAAGGCCCACCAAGGCGACGAUCCGUAGCUGGUCUGAGAGGAUGAUCAGCCACACUGGAACUGAGACACGGUCCAGACUACUAAGGGAGGCAGCAGUGGGGAAUAUUGGACAAUGGGCGCAAGCCUGAUCCAGCCAUACCGCGUGGGUGAAGAAGGCCUUCGGGUUGUAAAGCCCUUUUGUUGGGAAAGAAAAGCAGCAGGUUAAUACCACGCUGUUCUGACGGUACCCAAAGAAUAAGCACCGGCUAACUUCGUG
rnacentral:rRNA from 1 species